rnacentral:tRNA from 1 species
GCAGUGGUCGUUCGGUAGUAGAAUUCUUGCCUUCCAUAUGGGGGCCCCAGGUUCGAUUCCUGGCCAAUGCA